CAGUUCGGACUGGAGUCUGCAACCCGACUCCACGAAGCUGGAUUCGCUAGUAAUCGCGCAUCAGCCAUGGCGCGGUGAAUACGUUCCCGGGCCUUGUACACACCGCCCGUCAAGCCAUGAAAGCCGGGGGUGCCUGAAGUCCGUGACCGCGAGGGUCGGCCUAGGGUAAAACUGGUGAUUGGGGCUAAGUCGUAACAAGGUACC
rnacentral:rRNA from 1 species